CUCUUAUUUCGGGGGGAUGCGACUUCUCUUGUCGUAUCCCCCGUCUCCGUCUCCGCCUGCGCCGAGGCCUAAUAGGGGAGCUGGUGGCCUCGGAGCUGCGGCUCAGAGCUCCAGUUUUCCAGC